rnacentral:rRNA from 1 species
CCUACGGGUGGCUGCAGUGAGGAAUAUUGGUCAAUGGGCGCUAGCCUGAACCAGCCAAGUAGCGUGCAGGAUGAAUGCCCUACGGGUUGUAAACUGCUUUUGUAUGGGGAUAACGUGCACCAUGUAUGCUGCUCUGCAGGUACCUUACGAAUAAGGACCGGCUAAAUCCGUGCCAGCAGCCGCGGUAAUACGGAGGAGCCGAGCGUUAUCCGGAUUUAUUGGGUUUAAAGGGAGCGUAGGCGGGCUGUUAAGUCAGGUGUGAAAGUUGGGGGCUCAACCGUACCAUCGCAGUUGAUACUGGAAUCCGUGAGUUCAGGAGAGGCAGGCGGAAUUCGUGGUGUAGCGGUGAAAUGCAUAGAUAUCACGAGGAACCCCGAUUGCGAAGGCAGCCUGCUGGA